ACGUAAAAGACUAGUGUUAUUCAUCUUUAAUAGGUUUAAAGGGUACCUAGACGGUAUAAUUAGUCCAAAAUAGGAUACGAUUUUACUAGAGUUAUAUAGGAGGAGGUGAGUAUUCAUGCAGUAGAGAUGAAAUUCGUUGAUAGUAUGAAGACUGAUAAAGGCGAAGGCGACCUUUUAUCUAAUAACUGACGUUGAGGGACGAAG
rnacentral:rRNA from 1 species